rnacentral:tRNA from 1 species
AGUGUGUUGGCAGAUAAGUGCAUCUGAUUUAGGCUCAGAACAUAAAGGUUACCCUUUACACACUU